rnacentral:rRNA from 1 species
AUUGAACGCUGGCGGCAGGCCUAACACAUGCAAGUCGAGCGGAGCGGCGGACGGGUGAGUAAUGCCUAGGAAUCUGCCUGGUAGUGGGGGAUAACGUCCGGAAACGGGCGCUAAUACCGCAUACUAUCAGAUGAGCCUAGGUCGGAUUAGCUAGUUGGUGGGGUAAAGGCUUACCAAGGCAACGAUGCAUAGCCGACCUGAGAGGAUGAUCAGUCACACUGGAACUGAGAGACGGUCCAGACUCGUACGGUAGGCAGCAGUGGGGAAUAUUGGACAAUGGGCGGAAGCCUGAUCCAGCCAUGCCGCGUGUGGGAAGAAGGUCUUCGGAUUGUAAAGCACUUUAAGUUGGGAGGCGUUACCAACAGAAUAAGCACCGGCUAACUCCGUGCCAGCAGCCGCGGUAAUAC